ensembl:lncRNA
CUGGAUUCUUUGCGGAGGAUGGUAUUUAGGUGUGCUCAUUGUUUUUGAGAUAUUGUGACCAUGCCCACUCAGUAGUCAGAGCUUAAAAGUGUGUGUGUGUGUGUGUGUGUGUGUGUGUGUGUGUGUGUGUGUGUCAAUGUGUAUUGCUGGGCAUAUACUCAGCAAACCGACUUAGCUUUCAGGCCCUUUAGGGUCAACAUCCACUGCAGAGAACUCUUUCACAUGCAUGUCCUUCAUGAAGAAACCCACAUACAGUGACCGACCAUCUCAGGAGUAUAAAAGCCUGGGUGCUCUAGCCAAAAGAGGAGGGAGAGUGAAUGGUCACAUAUGCUUCAGAGCGUCCCCUGAGGUUAACCAGAUCCCUGGAGAAGUUUGACUUCUCUCUUUGCCCACUUCGUCCCACUCCUCAACACCUUCUAUAGUUUUAGAUGCCUUAUAAAUAUAUUGCAAAUAUCUCACAUAUCAAAUGCUAACUUAGCAUGUGCUUCCAGAGGACCCAUAUACAGCCAAGUAGGUAGGUAGGUAGAUUGGAGAUAGAAAUGAAUUUUAUACUUAUUUGUAAAUAUAAAUGUCACUCAGCAUAUGGUGUCUAUUUGUGUAGUUCCAAUCCGUGUAUAAAAGUGCGAAUACUCUGUACUUGAGUAUAGAGUUCAAUAAAGGGCAGUUAAGUUUACUUAGUUGAUAGUGGUUUUUCACCAUUCUCUGGGCUUCCCUGGUAGCUCAGCUGGUAAAGAAUCCGCCUGCCAUGCAGGAGACCCUGGUUCAAUUCUGGGGUUGGGAGAAUCCCUUGGAGAAGUGAAAGGCUUCCCACUCCUGUAUUCAUGGUCUUCCCUGGUGGCUCAGAUGGUAAAUAAUUUGCCUGCAAUGCAGAAGACCUGGGUUUGAUCCCUGGCUUGGGAAGAUCUCCUGGAGGAGGACACUCCAAUACUCUUUCCUGGAGAAUCCCAUCGACAGAGGAGCCUGGGGGCAGAGGGCCUACAGUCCAUGGGGUAACAAAGAAUUGGAGAAGGUUGAGCAACUAAGGUCAGCACAGCAUGAUUCUCUACCCUUGCUGGUUUUUCCCUGCUUAUUUUAUCAGUUGCAGAAGGGACUUCAUUAAAAUCUCUAAUUAUAUAAUGGAUGCAUUUCUUUUUCUCUUUGGUAUUGACAGUUUUUAUUCAUGUAUUUUGAAG